rnacentral:tRNA from 1 species
GGGUCGUUAGCUCAGUUGGUAGAGCAGCUGACUUUUAAUCAGCGGGUCAUAGGUUCGAGUCCUGUACGACCCACCA